UGCAGGGUAGAGGAGUGGUCCCUUAUGGGGUUCAUACCCCCAUGACGCUGGUUCAAAUCCAGCCCCUGCACCCA
rnacentral:tRNA from 1 species